GUACUUCAGUAGCACACGUACUAAAAUUGGAAAGAUACAGAGAGGUUUAGCAUGUCCCAUGCACAAUGUGCAAAUUUCUAAAGUAUUCCACAAAUGC
ensembl:snRNA U6 U6 spliceosomal RNA